UAAUUCUUCAGCCUACUCUUCCCGGAUUUGCUAGUCUUAUGGCUCUUUACCGGACUCAGAUAGAAUCUAAACAUACUCUUCUCAAGGUUUUCUUGGCUGCACGUACCAACAUUUGCGUUUCUCUGGAGAAGAUGAUGAUUUUGUUUGCCUUCAAUGCCAUUAACCAAUCCAUCACAAGAGUUUCUUCCAGCCUCAACACUGUUAAUAGAUCCAUGAAACAGACCAUCACAAGAGCUUCUUCCACCUUCAAAGCCACUGACAAUGUUAGCACCACUACGCACGCCAUCGCAAGACUUUCUCGCACUUACACUAUAGCUUUUCAAAAGCUUCUCACUAACACCAACAUUGGUUUCUCCUUUACCUACUCUCCUAAGCUUUAACAGAGAUUCAGCCAAAGAACCCUCAACCGCAUUUCCUUCAAGUUUCAAAAUUUGCUCAGUCUUUAUCUCGUUCUUCGCCUCGUUUUUCCUCUGUAUCAAUCCCCAAAUGUUCCAUCCCUUUGGCCAUUUCUUUCUAGGUUUCUUUAACUCAACACUAUCCUGCUUCUUCCCCUCACCACCAGCAGCAAUACAAAUCUUUCCUUUAGAAACUAAUUCUUUACUCUCUGGUUUGACAUUUUUAAUCGAAUACCAAUUCGAAUCCCUAAGUUCCUUCUCUGUAACCAAUAACUUAGCACCAUGAAACAAACCUACAGUUUCAGGUGAUACCUUUGCAUUCGAUAUACCUCUCAAUUCAUCAACCUCAAGCAAUCCUUGUCUCUUAAUCGAAACCGACCGAUCAAAACUCCUUCUCCGACGAGAAUCCGAGUAAUAGUUCUUCGUUUGAACCGUCCCACCUGGACUCUUCUCCUUCUCCUCUACUUCUUCUUCUUCAACACCACAUUUAGCUUUAGCAUCUUCCGUCACAG